rnacentral:rRNA from 1 species
AACGAACGCUGGCGGCGCGUCUUAAACAUGCAAGUCGAACGGCAGGAAGGGGCUUGCCCCUUCUGAGAGUGGCGGACUGGUGAGUAACACGUGGGUGACAUACCUUUUAGUUGGGGAUAGCUAUUAGAAAUAGUAGGUAAUACCGAAUGUGACCGUACCUGUUAGAGGGGUACGAGGAAAGGAGCUAAGGCUUCGCUAAAAGAAUGGCUCGCGGCCCAUUAUGCUCGUUGGUGAGGUAACGGCCCACCAAGGCGAUGAUGGGUAUCCGGCCUGAGGGGGUGAACGGACACAUUGGGACUGAGAUACGGCCCAGACUUCUACGGGAGGCAGCAGUUAAGAAUAUUCCGCAAUGGACGAAAGUCUGACGGAGCGACGCCGCGUGGAUGAAGAAUGCCGAAAGGUUGUAAAAUCCUUUUAAGCCUGUUGAAUAAGCACAGUAGGGAAUGAUUGUGCGGUGACCGUAGGGCUUGAAUAAGCACCGGCUAAUUACGUG